rnacentral:rRNA from 1 species
GGCUAACGCUGGCGGCGUGUCUUAGACAUGUAAGUCGAACGGACUUUCUUCGUGUAGCAAUACGUGGGGAAAGUUAGUGGCGAACGGGUGAGUAAUACUGGGGUAAUUCACCCUGGAGCGGGGAACAACUUCGAGAAAUCGAGGCUAAUUCCCCAUACGCUCCCCCAGACGCGAGUCUGGAGGAGGAAAGGUGGCCUCUACUUGUAAGCUAUCGCUCCGGGAUGAGCUCCUGGCCUAUCAGCUUGUUGGUGAGAUAACGGCCCACCAAGGCUUUGACGGGUAGCCGGCCUGAGAGGGUGAUCGGCCACACGGGCACUGCGACACGGGCCCGACUCCUACGGGAGGCAGCAGUCUAGAAAAUUGCGCAAUGGGCGCAAGCCUGACGCAGCGACGCCGCGUGCGGGAUGAAGUCCUUCGGGAUGUAAACCGCUGUCCCGGGAGACGAUGGGGCGCACACCCAAUACGUAUGCGCCUUGACGGUAUCCCGGAAGAAAGCACCGGCUAACUACGUGCCAGCAGCCGCGGUAAUACGUAGGGUGCAAGCGUUGCCCGGAUUCACUGGGCGUAAAGGGUGCGUAGGCGGGCCGGUAAGUCUGCUGUGAAAUCUCCGGGCUUAACCUGGAAACUGCGGUCGAUACUGCCGGUCUAGAGGACAGAAGAGGAGAGUGGAACUCCUGGUGUAGCGGUAAAAUGCGUGGAUAUCAGGAGGAAGGCCGAUGGCGAAGGCAGCUCUCUGGGAUGUUCCUGACGCUGAGGCACGAAAGCUAGGGUAGCAAACCGGAUUAGAUACCCGGGUAGUCCUAGCCGUAAACGAUGUACACUAGGUAUUGGGAUUUGCUCAGUGCCGAAGUUAACGCAUUAAGUGUACCGCCUGGGGACUACGGCCGCAAGGCUA